rnacentral:lncRNA from 1 species
CGGAUGCCAUCUCUCACAAUGAAUAGACCUCUGAAUGAACAUGAGAAAUGAUAUGCAUGUAGAGAUUAGCUUUUUUUCUUUCUCUUUUUUUUCAAUUUUUUUUAUUGCAUAUUUUUUUGAAAAUAAACAUGCUAUGAUGCAAAUGAUGCAGACAAGACUGGCUGGCUGUGUAUCUCGGAGCACAGGAUCAAAGUUUCGGCUUGAACUCGGAAC